AAGAGAAACAUGAACCAGAAGCUACUAAAGUUAGAGAACUUGCUACGAUUUCACACUAUUGGUAGGGAGCUGCAUAGCCUGGGUCAGAGAAGAACAUUAGCAUAGUGGAGGCAUGGAUUUUUGCCUGCUUGCCCAAUGUGGACAGCUCCGCUGUAUGCCCGACCCUUACAGAUAGACGUGCUCAUCGGGGCUACUUUAUUUCAAUAUAAGCUUCUAGGAACAAAUAAGGAAAAAAGACCAUGGGAAUCUCAGUUAUCUUCAACAAAAUCUAAAAAGGAGGUGGAAGUAUGGAUUGGAAUGACUGUUGAGGAGCUGGCCCAGGCAAUGGAAAAAAAACACGGAUUAUAUAUAUGAAGCUUUAUUGAACACUGCUAUUUAUGUAGAUUCACUAGAAGCAGACUCACAUUUAGAUGAAGUCUGGAUCAAAGAAGUGCUAAAGAAGGCAGGGAUGAAGUUAAAAUGGAGCAAAUUAAAACAAGACAAAGUCAGAGAAAAUAAAGAUGCUAUAAGAAGUCUGUCUGCCUUCUGGGGAAAAGACAACUUUUCUUGAUACUCCAGGACAUGCUGCCUUCUCAGCAAUGAGAGCCAGAGGUGCUCAGGUCACUGACAUUGUCAUAUUGGUUGUAGCUGCAGAUGAUGGCGUGAUGAAACAAACAGUAGAAUCUAUUCAGCAUGCAAAAGAUGCUCAAGUUCCUAUUGUGCUUCCUAUAAACAAAUGUGACAAAGCUGAGGCUGACCCUGAAAACGUGAAAAAAGAGCUGCUGGCUUAUGACGUGGUGUGUGAAGAUUAUGGAGGGAUGUUCAAGCAGUGCACAUCUCUGCACUUACAGGUGAGAAUCUGAUGGCUUUGACAGAAGCAACAAUUGUUCUCGCAGAGAUAUUGGAAUUGAAAGCUGAUCCCACUGGUCCAAUGGAAGGAACAGUAAUAGAGUCUUUCACAGACAAAGGAAGAGGUCCUGUUACUACAGCUAUAAUUCAAAGAGGAACUCUGAGGAAAGGCUCUGCUCUGGUUGCUGGAAAGUGUUGGGCAAAAGUGCAUUUAAUAUUUGAUGAAAAUGGAAAAAUAAUCAAUGAGGCCUACCCCAGCAUGCCAGUGGGAAUUUAGGCUGGAGAAAUCUUCCUUCUGCAGGAGAUGAAAUUCUUGAAGUAGAAUCUGAGCCAAGGGCACGUGAAGUUGUUGGCUGGAGGAUAUAUGAACAAGAACAGGAGAAAAAUAAAGAGGAUCUGAAAACAAUAGAAGAAAAGCGAAAGGAACACCAAGAAGCACAUCGGCAAGCCUGGGAGAAGUAUGGCACUUCGCACUGGAAGGAGAGUUCAUUUAUAAAGUAUCUAGAGAGAAAAGAACAAAAGCCCUUAAAGCCAAAAGAGAAAAGAGAAAAUAGAAAGAGAUUCAAAUAUACUUCCUGUAAUAAUUAAAGGUGAUGUUGAUGGCUCUUUUGAGGCCAUUUUGAACCUUAUGGAUACCUACGAUGCUUCACACAAGUGUGAACUGGAUUUAGUACAUUUUGGAGUGGGUGAUUUUAGUGAAAGUGAUGUUAACCUUGCUGAAACAUUUGAUGGUGUUAUAUAUGGCUUUAAUGUGAAUGUAGACAAUGUUAUCCAGAAGUCCACUGCAAAAAAAGGAGUAAAAAUUAAACUUCACAAAAUCAUUUACUGUCUUGUUGAAGAUUUUCAGGAGGAAUUGAGCAGUAAAUUGCCCUGCAUUGUGGAAGAACACUCAGUAGGUGAGGCUUCUAUGCUAGCUACUUUCUCUGUAAUGGAAGGGAAGAAGAAAGUUCCUGUGGCUGGCUGCAGAGUACAAAAGGGACAGUUUGAAAAACAAAAAAAAAUUGAAUUAAUCCGUAACGGACAUGUUAUUUGGAAGGGUUCAUUAACUUCACUGAAACACCACAAAGAUGACGUUUCAGUCAUCAAAACUGGAAUAGAUUGUGGUCUCAGUUUAGAUGAAGACGAGAUAGACUUUAAAGUAGGAGAUGAAAUUGUUUGUCAUGAAGAAAAGCAAGUUACAGCCAAAACUUCUUGGGAUCCAGGAUUUUAAGAUACAUUAAAAAUGUAAA